rnacentral:rRNA from 1 species
AGGACUAACGCUGGCGGCGUGCCUAACACAUGCAAGUCGAACGAGGUAGCAAUACCUAGUGGCAGACGGGUGAGUAACGCGUGGUCAACCUACCUCUUAGUGGGGGAUAACUAGCCGAAAGGUUAGCUAAUACCGCAUACGAUCGUCGCGAGGCAUCUCGUGACGAUGAAAGGAGCAAUUCGCUAAGAGAGGGGACUGCGUCCCAUUAGUUAGUUGGUGGGGUAAUGGCCCACCAAGACUCCGAUGGGUAGCUGGCUUGAGAGAGCGACCAGCCACACUGGAACUGAGACACGGUCCAGACUCCUACGGGAGGCAGCAGUGAGGAAUUUUCCGCAAUGGGCGCAAGCCUGACGGAGCGACGCCGCGUGUGGGAAGAAGGCCUUCGGGUCGUAACCACUGUCGAAGGGGACGAUAUUGACGGUACCCUUGGAGGAGCCCGGCUACUACGCGCCAGCAGCCGC